rnacentral:rRNA from 1 species
GUGCCAGCAGCCGCGGUAAUACGUAUGUCGCGAGCGUUAUCCGGAAUUAUUGGGCAUAAAGGGCAUCUAGGCGGCCAGGUAAGUCCGGGGUGAAAACUGCUGGCUCAACCAGCAGCCUGCCUUGGAAACUACCCGGCUGGAGUGCUGGAGGAGGUGGACGGAACUGCACGAGUAGAGGUGAAAUUCGUAGAUAUGUGCAGGAAUGCCGAUGAUGAAGAUAGUUCACUGGACGGCAACUGACGCUGAAGUGCGAAAGCUAGGGGAGCGAACAGGAUUAGAUACCCUGGUAGUCCUAGCUGUAAACGAUGAUUACUGGGUGUGGGCAUGAAGAGUGUCCGUGCCGAAGCUAAUGCGAUAAGUAAUCCGCCUGGGGAGUACGGCCGCAAGGCUGAAACUCAAAGAAAUUGACGG